UUGCUUACUUCGGCAGCACAUGUAUUAAAUUGGAAACAGUACAGAUUAACAUGGUCCCUAUGCAAGGAAGACAUGCAAAUUUGUGAUGCAUUCCAUAUGUUU
ensembl:snRNA U6 U6 spliceosomal RNA